rnacentral:rRNA from 1 species
UACAGAGGGGGCAAGCGUUGUUCGGAAUUACUGGGCGUAAAGGGCGCGUAGGCGGCCUCUUAAGUCGAACGUGAAAUCCCCGGGCUCAACCCGGGAACUGCGUCCGAUACUGGGAGGCUUGAAUCCGGGAGAGGGAUGUGGAAUUCCAGGUGUAGCGGUGAAAUGCGUAGAUAUCUGGAGGAACACCGGUGGCGAAGGCGGCAUCCUGGACCGGUAUUGACGCUGAGGCGCGAAAGCGUGGGGAGCGAACAGG